CAUGCCACAAGGAGACUGCUGUUUUAUGAACUGCCAUACCAGUGUGUCUUCAAUGGAGAAGAUGACACACCUAUCACCUGACCUCCUGCCUGAUCUGGAGACCAUCAUCAUGCUGCCACACUACAUACCUCUGAAACCAUCAAGGAUGACUCAUACCGAGGAAACUGUAUAUGCUCAGUGAUCCUCAGCGCAAAGAGAGGUAUUGCUGUCCUGACCUCAUCACAGAGCUCGUGCCUUUCCUCACCAUCAUGUGAGUGUGAGAUUGCUCUGGAGUCUGGUGGCCUGCAGCACCUAUGAGAACAAGCUCGUCCUGUGUGCCUGCAUUCCAGCUUCUUAGACUCUACGCAAGUGGACAGAG